rnacentral:lncRNA from 1 species
AAGUCUUUUACGUUUCAUCGAGUGUUGUGGUUUUUCAUUAUGUUAAAAAUAAGACUUUGUUAGUUCAAGUGUCUCUAUAACUAUGAAGAAGAACAAAAGAAAAUGCUUUGAGUGUGGUUCUUCGCCUGCCGAUGAUCCAGAGAAGACCCUACAGAGAUUACCGAAACUUGAUUCUACAAAUUUAGUCUCCGGUAGCUUAAUCUGGAGCAACAUAAGGUUAAUUAUGAAAUGGUAAUGAAAAUAAACAUCUGAGAAAAGCAAAUUCCAUGAACUAAUUUGAAAGUAUCUGUUACCAGAAGUAAAUUUUUUACUAUACCACUGUUCAAUAUUAAACCACAGGUAUAUGUACUAAAGGCAGGACGGCAGCAACUUCUAUGUAGAAGAAAGAGAGAAAGAAGAA